GGAGAGGACAUGGAUGGAUGGCUUGACUCCAGGUUCUGCUGUACUUCUUUUGUUUUGUGGUUCACUUCACAGCCCCAUCCAGCCCUGGUCUAACUGGUACCCUGUACUGUUUCUGUCCAUGGGGCAGAAGACUAGCCAGAGCCUCAAUCCAGAGACUUCAUUCAGACUAAAUGUUGGAGUUCUAAUUGACAGGAGUUUUGUCUCAUGGAUGAGAAGACGCCUAGUCCACGUCUACUGCCAGGCUUAAGGGGUUGGACUUCAUCUUUUGAAGAGAAUCAAGGGAGCUGGGUCUUCUUGAGUGUGUGGAUUCCAUCUUUCCCUUUGAAUCACACUUGGUCCUCAGGGAAGGCAGAUGAGCAAAGAAAACCUAAGGAUGUACUUCAGACAUGGCUGUGAUGUUUAUGGGAUGGUAGGUGAAAAUAGAAAAUCUGGAUGUGGUUUAAGUUUGGGGACGAGAAAUUGAGCACUCAUGAAUCCGAGGCCCAGAGCACUGCGCUUCUUUGAAAGCUGAGCUGUGAAGACUUUCUUUGCUAAGAUGUUAGCUUAGAGGUGAGGGAUGGAAAUGUUUCAGGAUGGCGAGUUGAAAGGUUAGGGUUUGGAUUAGGAAAGGCCACACUGCAGUUGGGUAUGUUACUGUCAGAAGGACCUAACUCCCCAUCCUUACGCUUCCAUAAGGAAACAUUAGCUCCACUCUCCCCACGGGGAAACAUCCCUGAGUGAUGCUUCCUCUCCCUGCUGAUUCUCAGGGAAAAUGUUAGGAAGCCCAUUUGGCUGCAGGUCUCAUCUCUCUCCACUGGCUGCCAAGAUAAUGUUUGAUCGCAUCUUCCUGACAUGUAUUUCUAGACUCUGUUGGCUCAGAUCAUGGGAGGGAGAGUGGGAGAUUUAUUGCCCUGCCUCAGACCAACCCAGCUGCCAGGUACAGCCUGGGGUUUUUGUACAUCAUCUCAUUUCAUCUCAAAACACUCUGGGAGACAAGUGUGUUUAAUCUCCAUUUAACUACCUCAUUUAAUCCUUACAACAACUUUAUGGGAUAUUUAAAACUAACCUUAGUGCAGAGAUAAAGAAACUGAGGCUUAGAGCACUUAAUUAAGCCACUCUGCUGGGCAGUGACAAAGCUGAGUGUGAACCUGGUUAUUUAUUUAUUUAUUUAUUUAUUUAUUUAUUUAUUUAUUUAUUUUUGUCUCUUUAGGGCUACACCCAAGGCAUAUGGAGAUUCUCAGGCUAGGGGUUGAAUUGGAGCUAUAGCCGCCAGCCUAUACCACAGCCACGGGUCUGAGCCGCGUCUGUGACCUACACCACAGCUCUUGGCAACACCGGAUCCUUAACCUACUGAGCAAGGCCAGGGAUCAAACCUGCGUCCUCUUCCCCAUGGAUGCUAAUCAGACUCAUUUCCACUGAGCCACGACAGGAACUCCAAUCCAGUUCCCUUGAUAGCAAACAAAGCCCAGGCCCCUCCUCCUGGCCACACAGCUCCUGUCAGCUCGUUGUCUCCCCCAGCUCUCCCUGCAAACACUUUUCAGAGGCAGUUACCAAGUACCACAAGGCUAGCUCGAUGACAACCCUGGUCAUGAUCCCAUUCAUUCAGCAGUGAGCCAAAGGUCCUUUCCCACCUUAGGAAAUUAGCACUUUCCUGGAGCUGCCCUGGAUGCUGACACAGCAGUUAAGGCCACAGUGAUGGACAAAAGCAACUGACUUCACAGAGGUCGAUUUUGCCGACUCUAUUUCAAGUCUUGACUAGCACUAGAGGCUCUUUUUUUGUUUGUUUUUCUUUUUCUUUUUAUGGCUGCACCUGCAACAUAUGUAAAUUCCCAGGCUAGGGGUCGAAUGUGAGCUGGGAGCUGGAGCUGCAGCUGCCAGCCUACGCCACAGCCACGGCAACACGGAUUGGAGCUGCAUGUGUGACCUAUGCCGCAGCAUGGGGCAACACCAGAGCCUUAACCCACUGAUCGAGAUAGGGGAUCAAACCCUCAUCCUCAUGGAGAUUGCGUUGGGCACCUGCUGAGCUACAAUGGGAACUCUGAUACAGGCUCAUUUUUUCACCAACACAAGCCCCUUACCGUGUUACUCCAUUUGCUAAUAAACAAAUUCCUCAGGAACA
rnacentral:lncRNA from 1 species